GCCCUUAUUGACUCAGUAAUUAAAGUAUUUUAAGGUGGAGAUGCUGUAAUGGCGACCUACGCCGCCAUCUGUCCCAUCUCGCCUCAGGAAGGGCGCCUGAGAUGGACGCUUCUCAUCCAGCUGAUAAGGCCGAGAAGGCCGCUAGAGAGCUUUGCGCUGUUCAGACAUGAUGCGGCCAAGUCUAUUGGUGCCUCCCGGAUACACCUUUAUGCUGAUGACUAACCCAGCUCUUCUAGGGAAAACACAUCAAUACCUCAGCAAGUUCUUGCAAGUUCCCCAUAACAUCGAUCACCUGAGAUCAAUUAGGAAAGACAACAGAAUCUGAUGUCGGGUAGAGGGCGGAGCUGGUCUCGACUCCUUGCUGCUGAUUGGCGGAUACAGACAUGUAGGCGGGCUGUGCCGGGGACUCGCUCUUCACCGAGUGGUCGACGGCGGCGCUGGCCUUGUUGCGAUUGGCUAGAAAGCAGGAACUGGGAGACGCCAGGAAGGCGGCUUUGCUGGCACCUGGAAAAGCAGACACAGUCGGAGUCAUCACGCCCAAGUUUUUCGGCCAAAUUUUGCCUGGGUUUCCAUACACCGCGUGCCCAGUACUGUAGCACUAAUCCAGUAAUUCAGUUCCCAAACAAAGAACCCUACAUGUUGCCAAGUCACUUUAAUUGACUGUUAAAUAACCUGCCAUGGGGCCAAAGACAACAAAUAUGAGAAACUAUUGAAUUCAAGAGCAAAACUCAGGGCAAAGUAGGAUGGUGUUCCAUCCCCUCCCCAUCCUAUUCUGUCAGUCGUACCUGCUUUCUUCAUGUGUUUGUCCAGAAGGUUCUGCAGGUCUUGUUCCUUGUCGUUGUUAAACUGAGUUUCCAGAGCCAACAGGAUGUACUCGUCCAGCAGCAUCCGGAUCAGAUGGAAGGAACCUGAAGACGGCCCAGGUAGACGUAGUUAUAUUUAUAUAAGUACACAAUAAAAAUCACUUCUCCUUGUGAAGCUUGAAUGUUUCUAUCGGAUGUCUUUAGUCGGGUCUGUCGGGAUUAACAGGAAGUACGUGACAGGUUCUACGGUGCAUGAACACAGGACCUUCAGGACCUUGCUGUUCCUGGGUUUGUCCAGCAGGGCGACAGCUGCCGUGCCGGAGCGGCGUCGGAGCUCAGCGGGAGGAAGCGGCCAAAUGCUGGAGGCGUUGUUGAGCGUGAGGUUGUGCAUGACUCUGGCGCCGAAGAAGCUCCACCUGAGCAGGAACUCCUGAGCUCGCUUCUUCACCGAGCGGCCCGUCUGCUUGCCCGGCUGCUCGCCCGCAAAGAAAACAAAAAAAAAACAAAACAAAGUGAGUGGACUUGCUGGUGUUUGCUGCGUGAUUUUGAGGUAAACACCUUGAUGACUUUGUGCUCCACCACGGAGUCCAGCCACUCGAUGAAGGAUUCCACCGUAGCAUUCUUCCUCAGCAGCUCCUUCAGCUCCUGGAAUACAGCAAUGGCGUCGUCUGCGGGAAAACAAGUGGCUUUGUCAUGCACUGCAAGAAAUGACUCCUUUUUUCUAACAGUCUCCUAACGAGAUCAAACUAUUUGAACAAACUAAUCCUAGUGAAGACCCUGGCAGAGGUAAUAUUGAACACUGUACUUCCUGUCAGUGAACCACCUUGGUGGAGGUAAUACUGAGGACCUGGAGGUAA